CCUUAAGACCUGAUUCUAACAACACCUAACCUUAUUCUGCUAACACCCCGACUCGCACCACAAAACACAGUUACACGUAAAAACUGCAGGAGCCCACCACCCACCCCACCUUCUUCCCUCGGACGCACCCACCCCCACCCCGACCCACAUUCUUCCUCGCACACCACCACUCCCCACGCCCACCUCCCUCCCCACCUUCCGCCGUUGUCAGACCCCACCACCGUCGCCCCACUUCCUCCCUCUCUGCCCUCGCCCUGCCUAGCUCCCCUCGGGCAACCUCCCCCGCCGCCACCACUUGGGCUCGCCGUGGUGAAAACCAGAUCCAGCCCCCCUCCCCGGCGGCAACCCGCACCGGCCGGCCAUGGAUCCGACCCCCCCACCAACCUGCAGCAUCUGCCGAUGGAUCGAGCCACCUCUCUACCGGCUACCUUCAUCCGCCUCCCCACCACGACCACUAUCCACUUGGCCUGAUUCACGGGCGUCGAGGAGCCAGGCAGUGUCGGCGGAGCAGGUGGCGGGUGAGGGUGCAGCGCGGCGCGCGGGCUACUGGCGGGGGAGGAUGGUGCAGGAGGUGCGCUCAGGGGAGCGGCAGGUGGAGGUGGUCGUCGGGGCGGAGGCGCCACGGGAACCCAAGGCGAGGGGCAUCGUCGGGAAAGAGCACAUGCAGCUGCUCCUACGCCUCGAUGGGGUGUGGGGCGCCAGCGGUCGAGCUUGAUGGAGUGAGUCCCCCUGUUGCCACCACCCCCUACUGAUCCGUUGACCACAAGAUCCCCUUCACCCCUCCGCCUCCAGGCACGAUGGCGGCCUCUCGCCGGCGCAUCCUCUCCUUCGACAUCUAUCCGAGGCCUGCUCUCCUAGGCGCCUACUACCUUUCGGCAGUGGUGGGGAUUCGGCAAAGAUCUGCUUCGCCACCCCUCAUCCCUCGUUCUGUGGCAUCAAGGCCGGGACGCCCAGUACAGCGGCGAGGGUGCCGCAGGUCAACGGCAUCCCGCCCAACUCUGUCGUGUGCAGUGCACACCUCGCGGUGCUGCAAGUUCUGGGGCGGCGGGAGUGAGCAGUGCAGUGCAGAUAAAAAUGUCGUUGCAGGUAGUUGUGGUUGUCGGUGCAGUUCGCAAGCGCAUGAUGGCAUGACGGCGUGCAGUUCCCUGGUCGCAGUCGAGCUGAAUGUGUGGUGUUGGACAAGAUGCAGUACGGUUGGUGUCACCGUGCAGCUCAUUGGCUAACAGCAUGCAGUUUGAUACAUCUGUUUUACAGUUCUUUUGCUAUGUCCUGUGGUAUCUGUGUCCUAUGUUGGGCCAAAGUGUGCAGGGCAAUAGGGCUUGCGUGGAGUUUGGGGGUAAGCACAUUGCAAAAAUUGCAGUGCGGUUUGGCGACAGUGGAAUUGCGGUGUGGUUCGGCGCCCGUCGAGGUGAAUUUCGUCCACGGGGACCUUGUGUUCUUUUUUUGUCAAAAAAAUUAUGCAUGACGAAGCCACAGGCGCCACCGACGAAGCAGUACCGAUGGCGACGCCGUGCAGCUCAUCAGUGACAUGCGCGUGGUUCUGCACCUAGCAGCGUGUAGCCACCUGAUGCACAUCAGUACAGUUGGAUCUCAUGGAGUUUUAGAUACUUAUUUCGGCAUUCAGAUUUGCAGUGUAGUGCGUACUCGUGGAAACCAAAAAAUGCCUGUUUAUUCUUGAUGCUUUUUCUUGCAUUGAAAAACUUGUUAUGCCUUAAGCAGUGCAGUUAAUUGUUGGGUG